UCGAACGAGAAACCCUAGGCUUGCUCGGGGGAGUAAAGUGGCGCCCGGGUGAGUAACGCGUGGGUAACCCACCUCUGAAUCUGAAUAACUUCGCGAAAGCGUUGCUAAUACCGGAUAUGUCCCUGGGACUGUGGUUCUUGGGAUGAAAGGUGACCUCUUCCUGAAAGUUGCCGUUUAGAGACGGGCCCGCGUACCAUUAGCUAGUUGGUAGGGUAAUGGCCUACCAAGGCUGGGAUGGUUAGCUGGUCUGAGAGGAUGACCAGCCACACUGGCACUGAAACACGGGCCAGACUCCUACGGGAGGCAGCAGUGAGGAAUUUUGCGCAAUGGGGGCAACCCUGACGCAGCAACGCCGCGUGAGCGAAGAAGGCCUUCGGGUCGUAAAGCUCUGUCUAGUGGGAAAAAAGUCUUCCGGUAAAUAGCCGGAAGAUCUGAUGGUACCGCUGGAGGAAGCACCGGCUAACUCCGUGCCAGCAGCCGCGGUAAUACGGAGGGUGCAAGCGUUGUUCGGAAUUAUUGGGCGUAAAGGGCGUGUAGGCGGUUUGGUAAGUCAGAUGUGAAAGCCCUGGGCUUAACUCAGGAAGUGCAUUUGAAACUGCCAUCCUUGAGUAUGGGAGAGGAGAGUGGAAUUCCCAGUGUAGAGGUGAAAUUCGUAGAUAUUGGGAGGAACACCCGUGGCGAAGGCGACUCUCUGGACCAAUACUGACGCUGAGACGCGAAAGCGUGGGGAGCAAACAGGAUUAGAUACCCUGGUAGUCCACGCCGUAAACGAUGAGAACUAGGUGUAGCGGGUAUUGACCCCUGCUGUGCCGUAGCUAACGCAUUAAGUUCUCCGCCUGGGGAGUACGGUCGCAAGGCUAAAACUCAAAUGAAUUGACGG
rnacentral:rRNA from 1 species